rnacentral:rRNA from 1 species
AACGAACGCUGGCGGCAUGCCUAACACAUGCAAGUCGAACGAGACCUUCGGGUCUAGUGGCGCACGGGUGCGUAACGCGUGGGAAUCUGCCCUUCGGUUGGGAAUAACUGAGAGAAAUUUCAGCUAAUACCUUAUAAUGUCUUCGGACCAAAGAUUUAUCGCCGAGGGAUGAGCCCGCGUAAGAUUAGGUAGUUGGUGGGGUAAUGGCCUACCAAGCCGACGAUCCUUAGCUGGUCUGAGAGGAUGAUCAGCCACACUGGGACUGAGACACGGCCCAGACUCCUACGGGAGGCAGCAGUGGGGAAUAUUGGACAAUGGGCGAAAGCCUGAUCCAGCAAUGCCGCGUGAGUGAUGAAGGCCUUAGGGCUGUAAAGCUCUUUUACCCGGGAUGAUAAUGACAGUACCGGGAGAAUAAGCUCCGGCUAACUCCGUGCCAGCCGCCGCCGUAA